rnacentral:tRNA from 7 species
CGCGGGGUGGAGCAGCCUGGUAGCUCGUCGGGCUCAUAACCCGAAGGUCGUCGGUUCAAAUCCGGCCCC